GCCCUCGUGAGCUUUGGAAAGGUUACUCCAGAACAUAAGCAAGAAGUUGAGAAGUUUGAGUUGAUAAGAUAUUCAUGGGAUGAAUUUUUUGAAGUGGUGAGUUAUCAAUUUUUCAUAUUAUUACUCUUUUUCCUUCUAUCCAGUAUAAUUUGUCAUGAAAGAAACUACUAUAUUACUUGGCACGUAUCUGCAAUUACUCUAACACAAAAUAUUAGAUACACUAGCAUUCAUAUAUUAGAACUACUGGUGAUCCCAGGGGAGUAUUGAUAUCCAAUUAGAGAAUUAUUACACUCUUAGAUGGAACUACUAGAUUGUUGCAAUGAACAAGUAGUUUUUCUUUUAUCACUUCUUUUUCUUGCAUUUGUAUGAACAGACAAGGGACUCCUAAAAAUCCUACGUCUUUUCAUUUAUGCAAACAUCUUGGUCUUCUAAUAUGAAUGCUCCUUAGUGUUGUCAAAUGUGUAUCGCAAAUAGCAGUUUGGUCAAAUUCUGCUACACAGCAAUGUUAUAGCUAUUGUUUGACAUCAUUUUGUAAAAUAACUUACCGUGAGCACAAGAUAUUGAUUGUAUUGAGUAUAUUCUUAAUUUUUCAGGGACUUCUUGAAAACAUGAGAGAUACUGCUGACUUGGUUUGGAAAAUGGCAGAGGAGUGUGCUUAGGUUAAUUUUAGUUUGAUUGCUUUGGUGUUUUGAACUCAUCAGCUGGUUGCAGGAAAUGGUAUGCUGGGAGCUUACUGUACUUAGCACCUUUGUAUCAGCAUAAGUUAAUUUGUUUUGGUGGUGAGAGUUAUAUAUUCAGCUAGCUUCUUGAGAUCAUAGAACCUUUGUAUUAGCAUUAGCAUAAGUUUGUUUUGGUGGUGAGAGUUAUAUGUACUUAGCUUCUUGAAUAUUGUUUCUGCCCACACAAAUCUUGUAUAUUAUUCAUGUUAUAUAUUGGAAAUAUUACUUUUUGUCCUCUAUAAAGUUUUAAUAUUAUUUGCUAGUUUUUAA
rnacentral:lncRNA from 1 species